CCUACGGGCGGCAGCAGUGAGGAAUAUUGGUCAAUGGGCGUAAGCCUGAACCAGCCAAGCCGCGUGAGGGAUGAAGGUUCUAUGGAUCGUAAACCUCUUUUAUAAGGGAAUAAAGUGUGGGACGUGUCCUAUUUUGGAUGUACCUUAUGAAUAAGGAUCGGCUAACUCCGUGCCAGCAGCCGCGGUAAUACGGAGGAUCCGAGCGUUAUCCGGAUUUAGUGGGUUUAAAGGGUGCGUAGGCGGCCUUUUAAGUCAGCGGUGAAAGUCUGUGGCUCAACCAUAGAAGUGCAGUUGAAACUGGGGGGCUUGAGUAUGUUUGAGGCAGGCGGAAUGCGUGGUGUAGCGGUGAAAUGCUUAGAUAUCACGAGGAACCCCGGUGGCGAAGGCGGCCUGC
rnacentral:rRNA from 1 species